UAAAUUGUGUAAACAUUUGCUUAAGGUAUCAAAUUUCACGUUAUUCAAGCUCUUUCUUUGAUACUGACUGCACGCCAUAUAGUUUCAAAUUACAGAAAGGUUGUCGUUGAAACAUGCUUAUUUUAUCGUUAUCACGGAUGUUUUGGAUGAAUUACAUCGGUUGCUCGGGGUCACUUCAAUCAUUUGGAUAAAAUGUCUGCGACUGAUGAGAGCGGGGGUUUCCGACUGUGAAGGCAGAAUUGGCUGUGAAUCUUGACUGUCCGGGGAACCAUCGUGCGUCGGAAUCCUCGCAAUUCGACACAUCUGCAAAAUUACAGUCUGAUUUAUUGGGCCCUGUCUGCUUACAAUAUAAGCAUAACCAGUAAUUAGGACACACAUUAAAACCGUGUCCUUUUUGUAAACAUUUUGUACAUUUGAGUACUUUCGGCCUCACAUUCUGUCCAAAAUAAAAAAAAAUCCGGCCUGAAAAUUGACCAAAUUGCAUGAAUUUGGGUAAAGGUGCUUUUGAUGUAGACUCUUUAACAAUACAGAUUCGGUCAACGGUUUCACAAUUAUUGAGCUUGCCACUGAUGCGGAGUUUCUCGCGAAAGUGCGAAAUGACAGUGAGGUUUUGUAGAGUGAGCGUUCGCUCAUCUUCAACAAAUAGGGGGAUGUUUUGGACCAGAACCCUAACUGUUCGUUCACCAUCGAACCGGUUAGGAUGUGUAGGAAGGACCGUCAACUUCUUGCCUCGAAGAAUUACCCCCUUAGCCAUCAAUUGCACUUUAUCCUGGACAUUGUCUAGGUAAACACGCUACAUUCCACGAAUGCGUUGAAGUCCAGUUAUAUGAGUGAGUUCAAUUGUCCUACUAAUUGCUUCAUAAAGCUCUACAUGCCUAACAAAUUCCUCCUUAAUGGGGGUUCGUUUCCCAAACAAUUCCACUUCGCGAAUAAACACAAGUGGUAUAUUCAACUGUUGUCCGGACAUGCUGUCCGAAUUUGCGUUGCCCUCGCUAUUGAUUGUGUCCGCUACAACUGUGUUACUGUCCGCCAUUAUGUCAAACUGACCACUCGUAACUAGGUCAAGUCAAAAUGUAGAUAAAACAGUACCUUGUAUCGGUAUACCUAUGUAAUCCGAUAAUCAUUCAAUCGCCAGUAUUCACUUGAUAUUUACACACAAAAUAACAACCUUUGUCGUCCAAACAAUACUUUAAAUCAAUGAUAUUUUCUAGAACAUAAGAAUACAGCCAUAGCAUAUGCCGCUUACGUUUACUUUAUUAAAUAUUCCGCAUUACACAACACAGUAAAUCAUAUACACUAUAAAUGUAAAACAUAUGGUAUUAUCAUGUAAUUCUUAUUUAAGAAGUUUGAGUGGUUGCGAUACAUGAAAAUUAGAGUGUUUUAUUUUGAUAAAGAAACAGAUAAACGAACAUGAAAAAAGACAAAAACACACAAAAUGCUUUAACAAAAAACAAAUUAAUUAAAUAAGCAUUAAUAUUCUACGAAAAGGUAGAAAAAAGACUGUACUAGAGAGUUUUUCUUAAAUGUAAUAUAUUACAUGCCAUUUCUGCUUAUGUGUGCUAUUUAAAAUAUCUUUAUCAGAAAAGAACACAGCAGAACAGAGCAGAAACUCGUUGUUUAUUUUAACAUAUACAGAUCAUCGUUGUUAACAAGCGUGCUUUGAAUGAGUCCAGACUCAAUUCAUUAAUUUACAGAAGAUUAAUGUUACUGGUCGUUAAAUACUUAUUUAACGUGAUUAAGUCGUUGCUCUUUAUACUAUACCUAAGUCCUUAGUUCGAUGCUUUUGUCAAUUCUAUUCUGUCAAGUUAAUUGCUGCAAUAAAACUAUUGCUAUUUUUUCACUGAAUGUUGUCGUAUUGCAAGUUAUACCUGCCCAGUAAACAUAUUUAAAAAUGUUGACUUUUGGUUUUGACAUAAAUACAAAAAAUGUGUAAGUAAAAGAUUUUGAUAUGCUUUUUAUGUUUAAAAAUACCUUUCUUCCCUCGAAUUAUGUGAUGAUAUUUUCUUUUUUGUUGAAACCUUUUGCAAAUGUUUAGGUUCUGAAAAAGAUUUUCAUUUGCAUAUUAUAUUCGACUAAUUAUCUUAACUCGAUUAGUUUUUGGCUGCGUUUCACAAUGUUUGAGCUACAAUUAAAACCUUCGUUCUUCCCUUAUAUGAGUUUGUUUUGUACAGUAUAAAUUAAUGUAUUACUUACGUGUCACCUAUAGGUCUUACCUUAGCCACACACAUUGCGAAAACAAAACGACAUUGGCCAUUUGUCAUCGAAUGAUUUGAUGUUACAAACUAUGUCUGUCAAACAGAACGUAUUUACCAUUAGUCUUUUGCCUUUGGACACCGUUUUGUGACAUGUAUUCACAUUUACGACGGUUCGAUAACAAUAUUUAUAAUUGAAUCUUAAGUUAUCACAUACUAUGUAUGCUAGUUAUCUGAUCGAGCGUGUUCUAAUUUUUAUUUUUGACCAAGACACGAAAUUUAACCCAUUUUCUAUCAUAACUGUGCAAUUGUUGGGACUAUUUUUAAAAUGUUUAGCACUGAAAUACAGAAACGUGUUUUAUCAAACUGUGUGGUUUUACGCACUGUCUUCCCAAAUAACUAAGUACAAAUGUGUUCAAUUGUUGCUACUGACCAAAAUACGAUGAAAUAAAAGACAUUUAUUUUCUGA